GUGCCAGCAGCCGCGGUAAUACGUAGGUGGCGAGCGUUGUCCGGAAUUAUUGGGCGUAAAGGGUGCGUAGGCGGUCUAUUAAGUCUGAUUUGAAAGGUCAUGGCUUAACCAUGGAAUUGGAUUGGAAACUGGUAGACUUGAGUGCAGAAGAGGAAGGUGGAAUUCCACGUGUAGCGGUGAAAUGCGUAGAGAUGUGGAGGAACACCAGUGGCGAAGGCGGCCUUCUGGUCUGUGACUGACGCUGAUGCACGAAAGCGUGGGUAGCAAACAGGAUUAGAUACCCUGGUAGUCCACGCCGUAAACGAUGAGUACUAAGUGUCGGGGGAAACCUCGGUGCUGAAGUUAACGCAUUAAGUACUCCGCCUGGGAAGUACGGUCGCAAGACUGAAACUCAAAUGAAUUGACGG
rnacentral:rRNA from 1 species